rnacentral:rRNA from 1 species
GAGUGCUAAGUGUUAGAGGGUUUCCGCCCUUUAGUGCUGAAAGUUAACGCAUCAAAGCACUCCGCCUGGGGAGUACGGCCGCAAGGCUGAAACUCAAAGGAAUUGACGGGGGCCCGCACAAGCGGUGGAGCAUGUGGUUUAAUUCGAAGCAACGCGAAGAACCUUACCAGGUCUUCACAUCCUCUGACAACCCUAGAGAUAGGGCUUCUCCUUCGGGAGCAGAGUGACAGGUGGUGCAUGGUUGUCGUCAGCUCGUGUCGUGAGAUGUUGGGUUAAGUCCCGCAACGAGCGCAACCCUUGAUCUUAGUUGCCAUCAUUUAGUUGGGCACUCUAAGGUGACUGCCGGUGACAAACCGGAGGAAGGUGGGGAUGACGUCAAAUCAUCAUGCCCCUUAUGACCUGGGCUACACACGUGCUCCACCCGACGGUACAAAGAGCUGCAAGACCGCGAGGUGGAGCUAAUCUCAUAAAACCGUUCUCAGUUCGGAUUGUAGGCUGCAACUCGCCUACAUGAAGCUGGAAUCGCUAGUAAUCGCGGAUCAGCAUGCCGCGGUG